CCUACGGGUGGCAGCAGUGAGGAAUAUUGGUCAAUGGGCGAGAGCCUGAACCAGCCAAGUCGCGUGAGGGAGUACUGCCCUAUGGGUUGUAAACCUCUUUUGUCGGGGAGCAAAAGCCGGACGUGUCCGGCUGUGAGAGUACCCGAAGAAAAAGCAUCGGCAAACGCCGUGCCAGCAGCCGCGGUAAUACGGAGGGUGCGAGCGUUAUCCGGUUUUAAUGGGUUUAAAGGGUGCGCAGGCGGAUUUUUAAGUUCGCGGUCACAUCGUGGGGCUAAACCCCAUCCAGCCGUUGAAACUGGGGAUCUAGUGUGUGCGAGAGGUAUGCGGAAUGCGUGGUGUAGCGGUGAAAUGCAUAGAUAUCACGCAGAACCCCGAUUGCGAAGGCAGCAUACCGGUGCACAACUGACGCUCAGGCACGAAAGCGUGGGUAUCGAACAGGAUUAGAUACCCGAGUAGUC
rnacentral:rRNA from 1 species